GUUGUAUGGUUAAGUGACUAAGCGUACACGGUGGAUGCCUUGGCAGUCAGAGGCGAUGAAGGACGUAUUAACUUGCGAUAAGCCCAGAUUAGGUAGUAAAAACCACUUGAGUCUGGGAUUUCCGAAUGGGGAAACCCACUAGCAUAAGCUAGUAUCGCUGCGUGAAUACAUAGCGCAGCGAGGCGAACCGGGGGAACUGAAACAUCUAAGUACCCCGAGGAAAAGAAAUCAACCGAGAUUCCGAAAGUAGCGGCGAGCGAAAUUGGACUAGCCCUUAAGCUUUUUAUGCGUCAGGUGAAACUUCUGGAAAGUUGUGCGAUACAGGGUGAUAGCCCCGUAACCGGCAACGCAUAUAAAGUGAAAUCGAGUAGGGCGGGACACGUGAUAUCCUGUCUGAAUAUGGGGGGACCAUCCUCCAAGGCUAAAUACUACUGACUGACCGAUAGUGAACCAGUACCGUGAGGGAAAGGCGAAAAGAACCCCUGUGAGGGGAGUGAAAUAGAACCUGAAACCGUGUACGUACAAGCAGUAGGAGCACCUUCGUGGUGUGACUGCGUACCUUUUGUAUAAUGGGUCAGCGACUUAUAUUCAGUGGCAAGGUUAACCAUCUAGGGGAGCCGUAGGGAAACCGAGUCUUAACUGGGCGUUCAGUCUCUGGAUAUAGACCCGAAACCAGGUGAUCUAGCCAUGGGCAGGUUGAAGGUUGAGUAACAUCAACUGGAGGACCGAACCGACUAAUGUUGAAAAAUUAGCGGAUGACUUGUGGCUAGGGGUGAAAGGCCAAUCAAACCUGGAGAUAGCUGGUUCUCCCCGAAAGCUAUUUAGGUAGCGCCUCGGACGAAUACUACUGGGGUAGAGCACUGUUAAGGCUAGGGGGUCAUCCCGACUUACCAACCCUUUGCAAACUCCGAAUACCAGUAAGUACUAUCCGGGAGACACACGGCGGGUGCUAACGUCCGUCGUGGAGAGGGAAACAACCCAGACCGCCAGCUAAGGUCCCAAAUUACUACUAAGUGGGAAACGAUGUGGGAAGGCUCAGACAGCCAGGAUGUUGGCUUAGAAGCAGCCAUCAUUUAAAGAAAGCGUAAUAGCUCACUGGUCGAGUCGGCCUGCGCGGAAGAUGUAACGGGGCUAAGUAGUAAACCGAAGCUGCGGCAAUGCACUUUAGUGCAUUGGGUAGGGGAGCGUUCUGUAAGCGGUUGAAGGUGUGUGGUAACGCAUGCUGGACGUAUCAGAAGUGCGAAUGCUGACAUGAGUAACGAUAAAGGGGGUGAAAAACCUCCUCGCCGGAAGACCAAGGGUUCCUGUCCAACGUUAAUCGGGGCAGGGUAAGUCGACCCCUAAGGCGAGGCCGAAAGGCGUAGUCGAUGGGAAACGGGUUAAUAUUCCCGUACUUCUUACAAUUGCGAUGGGGGACGGAGAAGGCUAGGUGGGUCUGGCGACGGUUGUCCAGGUUCAAGUGCGUAGGCUUAAGAGUUAGGUAAAUCCGGCUCUUUUUAAGGCUGAGACACGACGUCGAGCUACUACGGUAGUGAAGUCAUUGAUGCCAUGCUUCCAGGAAAAGCCUCUAAGCUUCAGAUUGUAAGGAAUCGUACCCCAAACCGACACAGGUGGUCGGGUAGAGAAUACCAAGGCGCUUGAGAGAACUCGGGUGAAGGAACUAGGCAAAAUGGUACCGUAACUUCGGGAGAAGGUACGCUCUCGACGGUGAAGUCCCUUGCGGAUGGAGCUAUUGAGAGUCGCAGAUACCAGGUGGCUGCAACUGUUUAUUAAAAACACAGCACUGUGCAAAAUCGUAAGAUGACGUAUACGGUGUGACGCCUGCCCGGUGCCGGAAGGUUAAUUGAUGGGGUUAGACUUCGGUCGAAGCUCUUGAUCGAAGCCCCGGUAAACGGCGGCCGUAACUAUAACGGUCCUAAGGUAGCGAAAUUCCUUGUCGGGUAAGUUCCGACCUGCACGAAUGGCGUAAUGAUGGCCACGCUGUCUCCACCCGAGACUCAGUGAAAUUGAAAUCGCUGUGAAGAUGCAGUGUACCCGCGGCUAGACGGAAAGACCCCGUGAACCUUUACUACAGCUUGGCACUGAACAUUGACCCUACAUGUGUAGGAUAGGUGGGAGGCUUUGAAGCACAGUCGCUAGAUUGUGUGGAGCCGUCCUUGAAAUACCACCCUUGUAGUGUUGAUGUUCUAACGUUGACCCCUAAUCGGGGUUGCGGACAGUGCCUGGUGGGUAGUUUGACUGGGGCGGUCUCCUCCCAAAGCGUAACGGAGGAGCACGAAGGUGGGCUAAUCACGGUUGGACAUCGUGAGGUUAGUGCAAUGGCAUAAGCCCGCUUGACUGCGAGAAUGACGGUUCGAGCAGGUGCGAAAGCAGGUCAUAGUGAUCCGGUGGUUCUGAAUGGAAGGGCCAUCGCUCAACGGAUAAAAGGUACUCCGGGGAUAACAGGCUGAUACCGCCCAAGAGUUCAUAUCGACGGCGGUGUUUGGCACCUCGAUGUCGGCUCAUCACAUCCUGGGGCUGAAGUCGGUCCCAAGGGUAUGGCUGUUCGCCAUUUAAAGUGGUACGCGAGCUGGGUUUAGAACGUCGUGAGACAGUUCGGUCCCUAUCUGCCGUGGGCGUUGGAAGAUUGAAGGGGGCUGCUCCUAGUACGAGAGGACCGGAGUGGACGAACCUCUGGUGUUCGGGUUGUGUCGCCAGACGCAUUGCCCGGUAGCUAAGUUCGGAAUCGAUAACCGCUGAAAGCAUCUAAGCGGGAAGCGAGCCCUGAGAUGAGUCUUCCCUGAUACUUUAAGUAUCCUAAAGGGUUGUUCGAGACUAGAACGUUGAUAGGCAGGGUGUGUAAGCGUUGUGAGGCGUUGAGCUAACCUGUACUAAUUGCCCGUGAGGCUUAACCAUACAACACCCAAGGGGUUU
rnacentral:rRNA from 1 species